rnacentral:rRNA from 1 species
AAUAAGCGGAGGAAAAGAAACCAACCGGGAUUGCCUCAGUAACGGCGAGUGAAGCGGCAACAGCUCAAAUUUGAAAGCCCGCGGGCGUUGUAAUUUGCAGGCGGAUGUUUUGGGGCGGGCGCUGUCUACGUUCCUUGGAACAGGACGCCGCAGAGGGUGAGAGCCCCGUGCGAUGGCGCCUCCAACCGCGUAAAACUCCGCCGACGAGUCGAGUUGUUUGGGAAUGCAGCUCCAAGUGGGUGGUAAAUUCCAUCUAAAGCUAAAUACUGGCGAGAGACCGAUAGCGAACAAGUACAGUGAUGGAAAGAUGAAAAGCACUUUGAAAAGAGAGUGAAACAGCACGUGAAAUUGUUGAAAGGGAAGGGUAUGCGAUUAGCGGCCAGCAGGAGGUGCCUUCUCGUGAAAAGGCCGUGCACCGUCUUCGGACACCGUGCGCGGAGAUGGCGAGGGGGCGCCUGAGGUCUGCGACUCG